CCCACCUGGCCCAGAACUGGCAACCUGCGGGAGUCAUCGGGGUUAGUGCGCCCUUGGCACGCCGCCGUGCCAGAAUCAUCAGCAAGAAUCAGGCAGGAACUUGUAAAUUUAAAAGAUCUGGACUUAAACCAAAGGCCAGACCAUCAAGUCUGAUGCUGCGUGAGGAAAGACGGAGGACGCCCGUGAGGAUUAAACUCAUCGCAUGAAGAUUUAGAUAGAUUUCCUGAGACGUACUGAAGAUUAGGAGAGCGAGAUAUGACUCUCCCACCCUUCCCCCGGGGGGAGGAGGAUGCACCGAGAUGGAACCGCUCCUCUGCUCGCCAACAGAGAAGACCUUUUCCCCAUCGUCGGAGCGCCAUCUGCAGGCUCGGUAGGGCGGGGCAGCUGGUGUUGUGAAUCAGGCCGCCGCAAUCCAGGGAACGGCUACUUCCCAACACCAGGGUCUCACCUCACCCCUCUCACCUCGGCGCCUCCAAUUGGUGCUUUAUGCUAUUUUGCCGGGUCUAAUGGUGAUGAAUUACUUGGAAUACGAGGACUUUGUCUAAAUCUGUGGGGAGUAUAUUGCCUCUGCAACAUUUCCACUCAGAUUAGGAAUCAGGAAAAAGUACAACAAACAGCAAAUGUCAGAAAUAAAAAUGUAAAACUAUAUCACACACCGAAGAACACACAGGAAUAAUGAAAUGUUUUACAAUUAAAAUGAUUCCCCCCCCCAAAGAAAUGACCUAAAUGUGCAUUUAAAGAAAUAUAUGGUUUUGUCUUUUUAAUAAAAAGUACUGUAGCGGCUAAAAGCUGAUGUUGAGUCUGAUGAAGUCUAUAUUGUGUAUGUUUUUGUCUCUGAACACAAAGCAGAAUGUAAAAGGUUAUCUUGUUUCAUGUGUUAGGCAUCUACUUUAUUUGAUGCCGUGCUCCACCAGAAGAUUACCUCAAUGUGUAUAUAUACAUGUGUUCAUGUUGGCGCUCUGAUUGAACAGCUGUGUGCACACAGCGAGCUGCUGAAGCUAAAGCAGAUCACCUCCAGUCACUUCAGGAUGUAUUAUUCACUUUGUCCAGUCGAUCUCAAUCCCAGGACCACUCCUUUGAUAAUUACAUUUUGUGUGCCUACAGAAAGUACUUUUACAUCUAAUAAAGAAGUAUGUAUAAUAUAG